CCCGUCCGAGUCUUCAUCAAGCCUUAACUAAUUUAUUAUCAACCAAACGUGGCAGAUGGAUCAAUAUGUAGUCCAUUUCAACAAGUUAUGAGGGUGGACAUGGUCAUGUGCAGUGCAGUGAUGAAGAGGAUAGGGACGACGAAAAUUCUUCGCAAGAGGCGUGCAUGGGCACUCCCCAUGUGCAAUCAUGAAGAGGAUGCAUGACAGGCGAAGCUUCUUCUGGCCAGCCGCCGCGCUCCAGAAUUCAACGGCCAAGACUAGUGCAGGCUUAAAUUGUUCCAUAAAACGGCGGCACUCGGCGCCUCGGCUCAUUCAUCCAACCAUGUCCACGCUGAGAGCGCGGUGUGCGACGGCCAUCCUGGCCGUCGUCCUGGCGGCGGCCGCGGUCGCGCCGGCCACGGCCGAGCAGUGCGGCUCGCAAGCCGGCGGCGCCAGGUGCGCCGACUGCCUGUGCUGCAGCCAGUUCGGGUUCUGCGGCACCACCUCCGACUACUGCGGCCCCCGCUGCCAGAGCCAGUGCACUGGCUGCGGCGGCGGCGGCGGCGGGGUGGCCUCCAUCGUGUCCAGGGACCUCUUCGAGCGGUUCCUGCUCCAUCGCAACGACGCGGCGUGCCUGGCCCGCGGGUUCUACACGUACGACGCCUUCUUGGCCGCCGCCGGCGCGUUCCCGGCCUUCGGCACCACCGGAGACCUGGACACGCGGAAGCGGGAGGUGGCCGCCUUCUUCGGCCAGACCUCUCACGAGACCACCGGCGGGUGGCCCACCGCGCCCGACGGCCCCUUCUCAUGGGGCUACUGCUUCAAGCAGGAGCGGGGCUCGCCACCGAGCUACUGCGACCAGAGCGCCGACUGGCCGUGCGCACCCGGCAAGCAGUACUAUGGCCGCGGCCCCAUCCAGCUCACCCACAACUACAACUACGGACCAGCGGGCCGUGCGAUCGGGGUGGACCUGCUGAACAAUCCGGACCUGGUGGCCACGGACCCGACGGUGGCGUUCAAGACGGCGAUAUGGUUCUGGAUGACGACGCAGUCCAACAAGCCGUCGUGCCAUGACGUGAUCACGGGGCUGUGGACUCCGACGGCCAGGGAUAGCGCGGCCGGACGGGUGCCCGGGUAUGGUGUCAUCACCAACGUCAUCAACGGCGGGAUCGAAUGCGGCAAGGGGCAGAACGACAAGGUGGCCGAUCGGAUCGGGUUCUACAAGCGCUAUUGCGACAUCUUUGGCAUCGGCUACGGGAAUAACCUCGACUGCUACAACCAAUUGUCGUUCAACAUUGGGCUCGCGGCACAGUGAGAUAGUAGGAGGAGAGGUGAUCAUGCGUGCAGAGAGGAACGUAUUCCUUCGCGAACCAAGGGGCAGAUAGAUUCGCGUUGAGGGAGCACAAAUCAUCAGCAUCUAGCUGCAAUGUGCCCUGCUGGACCACACACCACCACCUCUUCAUCUCCAAGCUCUCCUCUUCGUCGAUCCAGGAGCAGUAGACAGCGGCGGAGCCAGGGAAAUCGGAUGAGGACGAAUUGAACUUCUUAAACUUAGUCAUCCUGACAUGACACAACACAACACAACAUCAUCACUACAACAGAUGGACGGAAAAUGCACUUGGAGGCAGACUUCAGAGACACUGAAUUUGAUGAUCAAAGGCAGGACAUGACAAAAGAACAGAAAAGGUUCAGCCUUGACAAUUGUCUGAAUAUCAUGAUCAGAGGCAGAUUCAGUUCCACGACAUCACAAGAACAAAAAAAGAGUUUCCUUCUCUCUUGUUCCGUCAGAAUUGUACACACUAUCACACAAGAACAGUGUUUCAAACUAAUUUCACCUCUUCUUCAGAGCAUCCCUGAAGAAACAGCUCCUACUGCCAUUUCUUUCUGCAGAAACUUACUACUGCCAACCUGAAAAGACACAACAUCUAACAGAUAGAUAGAUAGAUAGAUAGAUAGAUAGAUAGAUAGAUGCAAAUUGGAUUCACGCACGAAUACAAGAACUUUCUUUCGACCAACUUACUUAUGUCUGACUCAAAUUUUAUCAAAGGGCAGUUUCAGCUCCAAAACAUCACAGAAGAACACAAAUGUUUCAGACACAAACCCUUCUCAGUAAAUGGCUACAUAGGCUAUCAGGUAAAGAACGGCGGGACCAUCUGGUCCGUCUCACCGCCUGUUCUGUUCGCGGCCGGCGAGGUGGUUCGCCUUGGCCUGGCCUAGUGGCUAGCGGUGUCCCGAAGCGUCUACCUGGACCGCAAAGUGUGUGUAGAGGCCAAGCUCCAUUGAGCUCGUUAUUUUUUCAGCGAAAAUACCUUUUUCACAUCUCAAAGAAAUCUGAUUAAAGGGUUUCAUGUAGACAUAUAUUUGUAGUAUACAUGUAUAAAAUUUCAUGAACAUAUAUACAUAAAAAAG
rnacentral:rRNA from 1 species